UGGGGAAUAUUGCACAAUGGGCGCAAGCCUGAUGCAGCCAUGCCGCGUGUAUGAAGAAGGCCUUCGGGUUGUAAAGUACUUUCAGCGGGGAGGAAGGGAGUAAAGUUAAUACCUUUACUCAUUGACGUUACCCGCAGAAGAAGCACCGGCUAACUCCGUGCCAGCAGCCGCGGUAAUACGGAGGGUGCAAGCGUUAAUCGGAAUUACUGGGCGUAAAGCGCACGCAGGCGGUUUGUUAAGUCGGAUGUGAAAUCCCCGGGCUCAACCUGGGAACUGCAUCUGAUACUGGCAAGCUUGAGUCUCGUAGAGGGGGGUAGAAUUCCAGGUGUAGCGGUGAAAUGCGUAGAGAUCUGGAGGAAUACCGGUGGCGAAGGCGGCCCCCUGGACGAAGACUGACGCUCAGGUGCGAAAGCGUGGGGAGCAAACAGG
rnacentral:rRNA from 1 species